AAAAGAAAACAAGGGCGAAUGGUGGAUACCUAGGCUCUCAGAGGCGAAGAAGGACGUGAUAAGCUGCGAUAAGCUGCGGGUAGGUGCAAAUAACCAUUCAUCCGCAGAUUUCCGAAUGGGGCAACCCGUCAAGUUGAAGGCUUGACAUCCUGCAAGCAGGAGGCAAACGUGGGGAACUGAAACAUCUAAGUACCCAUAGGAGAAGAAAACAAAUGUGAUUCCCUUAGUAGUGGCGAGCGAAACGGGAAAAGCCCAAACCAGUGUUGUUCAGGCAUCACUGGGGUUGUAGGACUGGGUCGUGGACUUAUAAAUCAGAGAAGAACGCUUUGGAAAAAGCGGCAGCAUAGCGUGAAAGCCGCGUAUUCGAAUGAUUUAUAUACCUACCAGUAUCCUGAGUAGCGCGGGACACGAGAAAUCCUGUGUGAAACUGCCGGGACCAUCCGGUAAGGCUAAAUACUCCUGAGAGACCGAUAGUGAACCAGUACUGUGAAGGAAAGGUGAAAAGUACCUCAAGCAGAGGAGUGAAAUAGAACUUGAAACCGUUCGCCUACAAGCGGUCGGAGCAUCUUAAUGAUGUGACGGCGUGCCUUUUGCAUAAUGAUCCUACGAGUUACUUUCACUGGCAAGGCUAAGCACUUCAGGUGCGCAGCCGAAGCGAAAGCGAGUCUUAACAGGGCGCGUAGGGGCGAAUAAUAUUCGCCCUAUCUAGUCAGUGGGAGUAGACGCGAAACCAAGUGAUCUACCCUUGAGCAGGUUGAAGUUCCGGUAACACGGAAUGAAGGACCGAACCGGUAAACGUUGAAAAGUUUUCGGAUGACUUGAGGGUAGGGGUGAAAGGCUAAUCAAACUUGGAGAUAGCUCGUACUCCCCGAAAUGCCUUUAGGGGCAGCGUUGAGAUAAGUUUAUAAGAGGUAGAGCGACUGAUUGGAUGCGAGGGCUUCACCGCCUAUCAAGUCCUGAUAAACUCCGAAUGCUUAUAAAUGUUUCUUGGCAGUGAGGGCAUGGGUGCUAAGGUCCAUGUCCGAGAGGAGAAGAAUCCAGACCAUCAGCUAAGGUCCCCAAAUAACAGUUAAGUUGAAAAAACGAAGUUCCAUCGCAGCGACAGCUAGGAUGUUGGCUUGGAAGCAGCCAUUCAUUUAAAGAGUGCGUAACAGCUCACUAGUCGAGCGAAGGAGCGUGGAUAAUAAUCGGGCAUUAAACUGUUUACCGAAGCUAUGGAUUCGAAAGAAUGGUAGGGGAGCAUUCCAGUACCGUCGAAGAUGGGGCGCAAGCCCUGUUGGAGGUGCUGGAAAAGCAAAUGUAGGAAUGAGUAACGAUAAAGAGAGUGAGAAACUCUCUCGCCGAAAGACUAAGGUUUCCUGAUCAAUGCUAAUCAGAUCAGGGUAAGUCGGGGCCUAAGGAUCAGCCGACAGGCGAAGCCGAUGGAAGAACCGGUUAAUAUUCCGGUACUACUUAUUAGAGUGAUGUGGGGACGAAGGCGUGACAGUCCUGCCAUCUGACGGAAUAGAUGGUUAAAGGGUGUAGAUAUUGAUUCUUGCAGGCAAAUCCGCAGGAAGAGUCGAACCUGACAGUAUCACAAUCCCCUGGGAAAGUGAAUAUGGACGUAAACAGACUUCCAAGAAAAUCCGCUAAACUUAAUCUUAUAAGUACCCGUACCACAAACCGACACAGGUAGUCGAGUAUAGAGUACUAAGGCGCUCGAGUGAUUCGCGGUUAAGGAACUAGGCAAAAUAGUCCUGUAACUUCGGGAAAAAGGACACCCCAUGUGAAAGUGGGGUCGCAGAGAAAUGGCUCAGGCGACUGUUUAACAAAAACACAGGGCUAUGCAAAAUCGAAAGAUGAGGUAUAUGGCCUGACACCUGCCCGGUGCCGGAAGGUUAAGAGGAGAAGUUAUCGCAAGAGAAGCUUUGAAUUGAAGCCCCGGUAAACGGCGGCCGUAACUAUAACGGUCCUAAGGUAGCGAAAUUCCUUGUCGGGUAAGUUCCGACCUGCACGAAUGGUGUA
rnacentral:rRNA from 1 species